UACAGAGGGGGCAAGCGUUAAUCGGAAUUACUGGGCGUAAAGCGUGCGUAGGUGGAUACCUAAGUCGAAUGUGAAAUCCCCGGGCUUAACCUGGGAACUGCAUCCGAUACUGGGUAUCUAGAGUAUAGUAGAGGAAAGUGGAAUUCCCGGUGUAGCGGUGAAAUGCGUAGAUAUCGGGAGGAACAUCAGUGGCGAAGGCGGCUUUCUGGACUAAUACUGACACUGAGGCACGAAAGCGUGGGGAGCAAACAGG
rnacentral:rRNA from 1 species